CAAAGGGGAGAGAAGGUCCUGCUGUCUAUGGGCAAGCCUGAGCACAGAGGCUGCUCUGCUGGUGGGGGUGGGGUCACUUCUCUCAGCCCCAGACUGUCAGCUCUCAGGAUUAUCCACCUCGGCUCCUGGUUGCAGCAACUGCUGUGGCAGUAUGUGGAGCGAGCACCUCUGGCUCCCAACUUCUCCUGACUGAGCUGGCCACUCGCUUCCUUCUCCUCUGUGCCUCAGGCGCUUGCUGAGACUUCUCUGUUGGACUCUAGUGCUCUCUCCUGGAUGUUCUAUUCGAGAGUCUCCCUCUGUAGCCCAGGCUGGAGUGCAGUGGCAUGAUCUCGGUUCACCGCAACCUCCGCUUCUCUGGUUCAAGUGAUUCUCCUGCCUCAGCCUCCUGAGUAGCUGGGACUACAGGCACGCGCCACCACCCCUGGAUAGUUUUUGUAUUUUUAGUAGAGACGGGGUUUCACUGUGAUAGCUAGGAUGGUCUCAAUCUCCUGACAUCGUCAUCCGUCCACUUUGGCCUCCCAAAGUGCUGGGAUUACAGGCGUGAGCCACUGCGCCGGCUGUUUUUGUUUUUUUUUUUUCCUUUACUGUUGAAUUUUGAGAUUUCUUUAUAUAGUCUGGGUAUUAACUUGUCCCUUGUCUUAUAUGUGGUUUGCAAAUACUUUCUACCACUGUGUAGGUUGUCUUUCAUUUUCUUAAUAGAGUCACAGAAGGAGAAAAGAAAAGAGGCUGGGCUGAACAAGUGCUCAAAGAAAUAAUGGCCAAAAACACACACCAAAUUGGCAAGAGACUUAAACCUACAAAUGCAAGAAGCUGGUAUCCAAACAGGUUGGAUCCAAAGAAAUCCACAGCAAGAUACAUUAUAAUUAAAAUUCUGAAAGCUUAAGACAAAUAAAAAAAUAUCGAAAGCAUUCACAGAAAAAUGAUAACUUACUUAUUGGGGUAAGGGGAAGACAAUUAGAAUAACAGCAAAGGUCUCAUCAGAAACCACGGAGGCCAGAAGAAAGCAUCACAAUAUUUUUCAAGGGCUGAAAUAAAAUUACUGUCGACCCCUUAGGAUACUGUCACUCAGUGAAAAUAUUUGUCAAGAGUGAAGGGGAAAUGAAGAUAUUCUGAGAUGAAGGAAAGCUAUUUGUUGCCAACAGAUUUACCCUAAACAGAUUUACCCUAAAAGAAGGGCUAAAGAAAGUUCUCUAAAUAGAAAGAAAAUGAUAAAAGAAGGACCAUGGAACAUCAGGAAGGAAGAAAGAGCAUGGAAGAAAAAAUAUGGGGAAAUAAAAGCCUUUCCUUCUCUUCUUGGUUUUUAAAAUUAUGCUUGAUGGUUGAAGUAAUAAUUAUAACACUUUCAAAUGUGGUUCUAAAUGUAUAUAGAGGAAAUAUUUAAGACAAUUAUAAAUGGGGGAGGGUAAAGGGACAUAAGGGAGGUAAGAUUUUUCUUCAACACCAGUAGAUUGGAUAUGUUAUGUAUAUAUAAUGUAGUACUCAAGCAACCAGUAAAAAAAAAAUCUAUACAAAGAGGUACAUUCCAAAUAUUAUAGAUAAAUUAAAAUGGAAUUCUAAAAAAAGGUGUAACACAUAGUAAAUCAGGAAAAAUAAAACAGAGAAAUAAAGAACAAAGAGAACAAUCAGAAAACAAAAAUAAAAUGGCAGACGUAAGCCCUAACAUAUAAAUAAUUAUGUAAAAUAUAAAUAGUUAAAAUACACCAAUUAAAAGACAGAGAUUAGCAGAAUGAAUUACAAAACAGGACCCAAUCUACUAAGCUUUUUAUUUUGUUUAUUUUUCGGUUCUAAAAUUUCCAUUUGAGGCCGGGCACGGUGGCUCACGCCUGUAAUCCCAGCACUUUGGGAGGCUGAGGCAGGUGGAUCACUUGAGGUCAAGAGUUAGAGACCAGCCUGGUCAACAUGGUGAAACCCUG
rnacentral:lncRNA from 1 species